rfam:Oryza sativa Japonica Group DNA, chromosome 5, cultivar: Nipponbare, complete sequence.
AAUAGAUGACGCCGUUGAUUUUUUUUACAUGUUUGACCAUUCGUCUUAUUUAAAAAAAUUACGUAAUUAUAAUUUAUUUUGUUGUGAGUUGUUUUAUCACUCAUAGUACUUUAAGUGUGAUUUAUAUCAUAUACAUUUGCAUAAAAUUUUUGAAUAAGACGAAUGGUUAAACAUGUGAGAAAAAGUUAACGGCGUCAUCUAUU